rnacentral:rRNA from 1 species
GGCAGCACGAUGUAGCAAUACAUUGGUGGCGACCGGCGCACGGGUGAGUAACGCGUAUGCAACCUACCUAUCAGAGGGGAAUAACCCGGCGAAAGUCGGACUAAUACCGCAUAAAACAGGGGUUCCACAUGGAAAUAUUUGUUAAAGAAUUAUCGCUGAUAGAUGGGCAUGCGUUCCAUUAGAUAGUUGGUGAGGUAACGGCUCACCAAGUCCACGAUGGAUAGGGGUUCUGAGAGGAAGGUCCCCCACACUGGUACUGAGACACGGACCAGACUCCUACGGGAGGCAGCAGUGAGGAAUAUUGGUCAAUGGGCGAGAGCCUGAACCAGCCAAGUCGCGUGAAGGAUGAAGGAUCUAUGGUUUGUAAACUUCUUUUAUAUGGGAAUAAAGUGAGGAACGUGUUCCUUUUUGUAUGUACCAUAUGAAUAAGCAUCGGCUAACUCCGUGCCAGCAGCCGCGGUAAUACGGAGGAUGCGAGCGUUAUCCGGAUUUAUUGGGUUUAAAGGGUGCGUAGGUGGUUAAUUAAGUCAGCGGUGAAAGUUUGUGGCUCAACCAUAAAAUUGCCGUUGAAACUGGUUGACUUGAGUAUAUUUGAGGUAGGCGGAAUGCGUGGUGUAGCGGUGAAAUGCAUAGAUAUCACGCAGAACUCCGAUUGCGAAGGCAGCUUACUAAACUAUAACUGACACUGAAGCACGAAAGCGUGGGGAUCAAACAGGAUUAGAUACCCUGGUAGUC